rnacentral:rRNA from 1 species
GGAUUAGAUACCCUGGUAGUCCACGCCCUAAACGAUGUCAACUAGCUGUUGGGGCCUUCGGGCCUUGGUAGCGCAGCUAACGCGUGAAGUUGACCGCCUGGGGAGUACGGUCGCAAGAUUAAAACUCAAAGGAAUUGACGGGGACCCGCACAAGCGGUGGAUGAUGUGGAUUAAUUCGAUGCAACGCGAAAAACCUUACCUACCCUUGACAUGUCUGGAAUCCUGAAGAGAUUUAGGAGUGCUCGCAAGAGAACCGGAACACAGGUGCUGCAUGGCUGUCGUCAGCUCGUGCCG